rnacentral:rRNA from 1 species
GGGGCCCUACGGGUGGCAGCAGUGAGGAAUAUUGGUCAAUGGGCGAGAGCCUGAACCAGCCAUCCCGCGUGCAGGAUGACGGCCCUAUGGGUUGUAAACUGCUUUUCUAUACCAAGAAAGGUUGCUACGUGUAGCAAAUUGACGGUAGUAUAGGAAUAAGCAUCGGCUAACUCCGUGCCAGCAGCCGCGGUAAUACGGAGGAUGCAAGCGUUAUCCGGAUUCAUUGGGUUUAAAGGGUGCGCAGGUGGGCUUGUAAGUCAGUGGUGAAAUACUGCCGCUUAACGGUAGAACUGCCAUUGAUACUGCAAGUCUUGAAUAUGGUUGAGGUAGGCGGAAUGUGUUGUGUAGCGGUGAAAUGCAUAGAUAUGACACA